rnacentral:rRNA from 1 species
UGGGGAAUUGUUCGCAAUGGGCGCAAGCCUGACGACGCAACGCCGCGUGGAGGAUGAAGGUCUUCGGAUUGUAAACUCCUGUUGAUCGGGAAGAAUGGACCUCGGGUGAAUACUCCGGGGUAAUGACGGUACCGAUUGAGGAAGCCACGGCUAACUCUGUGCCAGCAGCCGCGGUAAUACAGAGGUGGCAAGCGUUGUUCGGAAUUACUGGGCGUAAAGGGCGCGUAGGCGGCCUUCUAAGUCAGACGUGAAAUCCCCAGGCUUAACUUGGGAACUGCGUCUGAUACUGGGAGGCUUGAGUGCGGGAGAGGGAUGUGGAAUUCCAGGUGUAGCGGUGAAAUGCGUAGAUAUCUGGAGGAACACCGGUGGCGAAGGCGGCAUCCUGGACCGACACUGACGCUGAGGCGCGAAAGCUAGGGGAGCAAACGG